rnacentral:tRNA from 1 species
GAGGCCCUAGUAAAUCAUUACAUAGCCCUGUCAGCGCUAAAUAAUAGGCCUAAACCCUAUGAGCCUCC